rnacentral:rRNA from 1 species
CCCUUAGAUGUUCUGGGCCGCACACGCGCUACACUGAAGGAGGCAGCGUGUACUCCUGGAUCGAAAGAUUUGGGUAACCCGCGAAUCUCCUUCGUGCUAGGGAUUGAGGUUUGCAAUUAUCCUUCAUGAACGAGGAAUUCCCAGUAAGUGCAAGUCAUAAGCUUGCGCUGACUACGUCCCUGCCCUUUGUACACACCGCCCGUCGCUACUACCGAUUGAAUGAUUUAGUGAGGACUUCGGACUGGGACCGAUGCGGCUUUCGGGCUGCGUCGGUAUUCUGGAAAGAUGUCCAAACUGUAUAAUUUAGAGGAAGUAAAANUCGUAACA